GGACCAUCAUGUCGGUCGUGCCUCGGUACGUACUGGUAUUGUUGGUUUCUCCCUUCUGACGAACCAUGAUGUCAUUUAUUUGGUGUUGUGGGGAAUCAGGACUGUUACUUUGAAAAAAUUAGAGUGUUCAAAGCAGGCAAUCGGGCCUUGAAUACUUCAGCAUGGGAUAAUGGAACAGGACGUUUGAUUCUAUUUUGUUGGUUUCUAGGAUCGACGUA
rnacentral:rRNA from 1 species